GACGUAGGGCGCGAGCGUUGUCCGGAUUUAUUGGGCGUAAAGAGCUCGUAGGCGACUUGUCGCGUCGAAUGUGAAAUCUCAGGGCUCAACUCUGACAUUGCAUUCGAUACGGGCAGGCUAGAGUUCGGUAGGGGAGACUGGAAUUCCUGGUGUAGCGGUGAAAUGCGCAGAUAUCAGGAGGAACACCGGUGGCGAAGGCGGGUCUCUGGGCAUUAACUGACGCUGAGGGAAGCGGAAAGCAUGGGGAGCGAACAGG
rnacentral:rRNA from 1 species